UACGGAGGGUGCGAGCGUUGUCCGGAAUCACUGGGCGUAAAGGGCGCGUAGGCGGUUCGUUAAGUUGCUGGUGAAAUCCCGGGGCUCAACUCCGGGGCUGCCAGUAAGACUGGCGGGCUAGAGCACGGUAGAGGCAGAUGGAAUUCCCGGUGUAGCGGUGGAAUGCGUAGAUAUCGAGAGGAGCACCAGUGGCGAAGGCGAGUCUCUGGACGACUCCUGACACUGAGGCACGAAAGCUAGGGGAGCAAACAGG
rnacentral:rRNA from 1 species